UGGGGAAUAUUGGACAAUGGGCGAAAGCCUGAUCCAGCCAUGCCGCGCGUGUGAAGAAGGUCUUCGGAUUGUAAAGCACUUUAUGUUGGGAGGAAGGGCAGUAAGCGAAUACCUUGCUGUUCUGACGUUACCGACAGAAUAAGCACCGGCUAACUCUGUGCCAGCAGCCGCGGUAAUACAGAGGGUGCAAGCGUUCAUCGGAAUUACUGGGCGUAAAGCGCGCGUAGGUGGUUCGUUAAGUUGAAUGUGAAAGCCCCGGGCUCAACCUGGGAACAGCAUCCAAAACUUGCGAGCUAGAGUAGGGCAGAGGGUGGUGGAAUUUCCUGUGUAGCGGUGAAAUGCGUAGAUAUAGGAAGGAACACCAGUGGCGAAGGCGACCACCUGGGCUCAUACUGACACUGAGGUGCGAAAGCGUGGGGAGCAAACAGG
rnacentral:rRNA from 1 species